rnacentral:lncRNA from 1 species
CGCAGGGCGCAGCUAUAUUUGACCGCAGAGGUUGAACCCUGAACAGUUGGGGCAAGUAUGUACACAACAUUUAAGCUGGAUUCAGCUGUAAAUUGGGAUUGUGAUUAAAUAGUUGACACAGCAUAGGUUUCUGACACAGAAUGAAUGUGGUCUAAUGAACUUAAAAUAUUUUUUUUUGCCUUUGAGCAAUUCACUAUGCUGUUGAAUAUUAAUCCUCUCAAAAAAAUGUUUGAAGAAAUUUUCUUUUUAUUUAUGAAAUCUGAAAUGAGAAAAAUUUAACCCCCCCUCCCAUUUUUUUUUCACAUCCCCCUUUCCUUUUUUCCAAAACUGAUCUCAAUUCAAAUUCCUAAUGGAG